UGACAAGAGGCUCAUCAAAAUACUUGUA
rnacentral:sRNA from 1 species